rnacentral:rRNA from 1 species
UACGUAGGGGUUGAGCGUUGUCCGGAGUUACUGGGCGUAAAGCGUGCGCAGGCGGCUCAUCGCGCUCGGCGUGAAAGCCCUCGGCUCAACCGGGGAGGGUCGUCGAGGACGGGUGAGCUUGAGGGUAUCAGGGGUUGGUGGAAUUCCCGGUGUAGUGGUGAAAUGCGCAGAUAUCAGGAAGAACACCAGUGGCGAAGGCGGCUCACUGGUCCGGUACUGACGCUGAGGUGCGAAAGCGUGGGGAGCAAACAGG